rnacentral:rRNA from 1 species
GUUGAUCCUGCCAGUAGUCAUACGCUCGUCUCAAAGAUUAAGCCAUGCAUGUCUAAGUAUAAAUCUUUUACUUUGAAACUGCGAAAUGGCUCAUUAUAUAAGUUAUAAGUUUAUUUGAUAGUCCCUUACUACUUGGAUAACCGUAGUAAUUCUAGAGCUAAUACAUGCGUACAUACCCUUCUGGGGUAGUAUGUUAUUAGAUGGAAACCAACCCCUUCGGGGUGAUGUGGUGAUUCAUAAUAAGCUUGCGGAUCGCACGGCUUUGCUGGCGAUGGACCAUUCAAGUUUUCUUCCCUAUCAGCUUUGGACGGUAAGGUAUUGGCUUACCGUGGCUUUAACGGGUAACGGAAAAUUAGGGUUUGAUUCCCGGAGAGGGAGCCUGAGAGACGGCUACCACAUCCAAGGAAAGGCAGCAGGCGCGUA